rnacentral:tmRNA from 1 species
CCUCUUCACCAUUUAAGAAUCAAUCCCUAUAUUAUUAAGUGCUGUUAUCAGCUAUGGCGAUAAACGCUUUGUGAAAUAAACGUUACGGACCCGGGGGCGGUACCCGGCGCCUCCACCAUUUUUAUUAUAUUAUGAUUUUUGGGGGCGAAAUAGGAUCGACGUGCGUGGUAAAGGCAAAGUUUUUGCUCGGCAUUGUACCGCCGUUAUCGGGCUUUAUUACAAAUGCCAACGACAAUAGAUUGGCUCUCGCUGCCUAAUUUUAGGUAAGCGCGGUUUGGAGGGCACCGGGCAACAGAAGCCCUCCGCU